AGGAAUCUGCCUAUUAGUGGGGACAACAUUUCGAAAGGAAUGCUAAUACCGCAUACGUCCUACGGGAGAAAGCAGGGGAUCUUCGGACCUUGCGCUAAUAGAUGAGCCUAAGUCGGAUUAGCUAGUUGGUGGGGUAAAGGCCUACCAAGGCGACGAUCUGUAGCGGGUCUGAGAGGAUGAUCCGCCACACUGGGACUGAGACACGGCCCAGACUCCUACGGGAGGCAGCAGUGGGGAAUAUUGGACAAUGGGCGGAAGCCUGAUCCAGCCAUGCCGCGUGUGUGAAGAAGGCCUUAUGGUUGUAAAGCACUUUAAGCGAGGAGGAGGCUACUUUAGUUAAUACCUAGAGAUAGUGGACGUUACUCGCAGAAUAAGCACCGGCUAACUCUGUGCCAGCAGCCGCGGUAAUACAGAGGGUGCAAGCGUUAAUCGGAUUUACUGGGCGUAAAGCGCGCGUAGGCGGCUAAUUAAGUCAAAUGUGAAAUCCCCGAGCUUAACUUGGGAAUUGCAUUCGAUACUGGUUAGCUAGAGUGUGGGAGAGGAUGGUAGAAUUCCAGGU
rnacentral:rRNA from 1 species